rnacentral:lncRNA from 1 species
UAAUAAUACCUGUUCUCUAAAUAUGUACAAAUAGUUAAAUGUUAAUUAAAUCAACCAAAUCCUGUUUAAACAUCAAAAACCCAAAACUGUUAAAAAAUCUUGGUUAUUAUCUGAAAAAGGCAUCAAUACACAUGUUCUCUGAUGAUGUAAAGAUAGCGAUAUUCAUAAAACACUAAUGACCCAAGUACAACUCUAUAAAACAUGAACAAGCAAAACUGAAGUGCAGCAAACCAACUGUACAGUUAAAUUUCAUCUUAAGACAAUAUUAUCACAUUGAAUAUAGAAAUAACAAAGAAUACUUUGUAUGGUCUAAAUACUGUAAAUUCAAAUAUUAUCGUUUGCAUUCAAUGAGAUUGUUGGACAAUCGAUAUAAAUGUGAGGUUGUUUUUUUUGGCGAUUUUGGAAAAUGCUGAAUACAAAUAAUGCUAUCAAAAUUUAAAAUGCAACCUUUUGUCUUGGUGACACAUAUAUCGUUGAAACCUUUUGUCUUCGUGACACAUAUCUCGUUGAAACUUCUUUUUUUUCUUUGUGACACAUAUCUCGUUGAAACUUCUUUUUUUUCUUUGUGACACAUAUCUUGUUGAAACUUCUUUUUUUUCUUUAUGACACAUAUCUCGUUGAAACUUCUGACUAUAAAGCAUAGCUAAAUAUCAAAUGAAAUCUGUCAAAUACAAAUGUACUUCUGAUAAAUUAAUGCACAUGCAAAAUGCUCUAAUGGUAAUCAUUUCUACUAUAUAGCUAAAGUGUAAAACACAUAAACUACAAAAGAUGAAGCCGUUGAAAUAAUGCCGAAGUCUUGUAUCCAUAAUUACAUUCAUAGAAAAAAUGAUAAAGCUGUUAAGGUGGUACCUAACACCUUAACUCAAAUAAAUGUGGCUCGUUUAAUUUUCAUAAGGUUUAAACAAAAUACUUAUUUUGACCCUUUGACAAAAAUAUAUAAAUUUUAAAGAUCUUUAAACCACACAUUUUCUCUGAAAAAUUUCAUAGGAUAUAUAGCAGUUUGACAAACACUAAUUUUGAUCAUUGAUAAGCUUAAUAUUUCCUUAUAAUUAUAAGAGUACAACGAGAUUAAAACAUUUAGCUUAUUUUUACAGAGUUAUCUCCCUGUAGUGUUAGGUACCAUCUCUAGAUAAUUACAGAGUUAUCUCCCUGUAGUGUUAGGUACCAUCUCUAGAUAUUUACAGAGUUAUCUCCCUGUAGUGUUAGGUACCAUCUCUAGAUAAUUACAGAGUUAUCUCCCUGUAGUGUUAGGUACCAUCUUAAGAUUUUUACAGAGUUGUCUCCCUGUAGUGUUAGGUACCAUCUUAAGAUUUUUACAGAGUUGUCUCCCUGUAGUGUUAGGUACCAUCUUAAGAUAAUUUAAUAACCUGCACCAUAUCCAGAUGAAAUCUAAUAAAUAAGUUCAUGCCUAAUACUUUGUUUAGAUAUCCUAGUGUGACAGUCCAACACAUAGGCAUUUUACCCAGUUGUACUAAUAUAACUAUAUGGUGUUCAAGGAACAAACAAGUCAUACACAAUCAUAUUAUACAAUUGGACAACUUCAUCUCAGUUUUGUUUCACAGAAAAAAAAGUGCUUGAAAAAAACAUAUAGAUACCAAAUUGAACAGGAUGGACUAGGAUGGACUUGUUUUAUUGAUUUAUAUUGAUAAAGACAAAUGGAAUGUUGUCCGGAAAGACUAGAAUCACACUUUAAAAUGCCAUCACAGGGACAGAAGGGACAUAAAAUGUGAUCACUUUUUACCUAAGUCCCACGAAAUCAAAUGUUUCUCUUCUCAAGUCACAGGUAAGGGAGGGACAUAAAAUGUGAUUUCUUCUAAUCAGAGCCCCAAGAAAUCAAAUUUUCUAAAGUCACAGGGCAGGGAAGGACAUAAAAUCGUCACAUUAAGGAUGUACUUAGGUGAGGUUUUGGAAUUUGUGUUAAAUGUUCGGACUCCUUGGUGUUUUUCCAUACAAUACAAUGUAAAAUAUUUUGCCCCAUAACACCCAUUUAUCUUUUUAUAUAAGACUUAAUAGCUCAUGAAAGGUCAUUUACCAAAAUUUUAAAAGAUUCUUAAUUUUUUUCUUUUGUUUUGAGACCUAAUGAUACCAAUGCAAAUAUAAGGUAAAAGUCCGAGUCAGCCUUUUCCCGCCAUAUUUUAAAUCUCAAAUAUCUCGAAAAGGAGGUCCAUGACCUAUCAAUAUUUUUAGCUUAUUUUUAUCCUUGAUUGAUGCUCUACCAGCUUAUAGUAUCAAUUUUAACUUCUUAAUUUAUUAAUUUUCACCUAACCUCACCUAAGUACAUCCUUAAGCACUAAAUGUUGCUUCAUAUUUCAUAUUAGAUUUGUUAAUUAUAUAAAAAUAUAUGUCAAAAAUAUAAAAUAAUCUUAAUAUGGUUUAAAACAUUUGUUUAUAUACAUACCCGGUAUAUAUUUAUUGACUAGUUACAC